ensembl:lincRNA C030034I22Rik RIKEN cDNA C030034I22 gene
GUGACCGAACUGCCCGCGCGGAGAGGACUGGCGGCGGAGAACUGCAGCAAGAGCAGGAAACCCACGGGACCGCGGACGUGCGCGAGGCUCGAGGCCGUGCUGCACCGAGGGGCUCGACUCGUGGCGCCGAGCGGUCACUUCCGGCCUGCGGGGGGUACUUUUUAAAGGGAUAGCGGGUAUUUCCGAAGCCACGGGGGCAUCGCCACGCCGCGGUGUCGCCGCUGGGGCCGGGGCUUCUGUGGGUUCUAAUGAUUCUGCCGUACGUGCUUUGCCCUAAUUGUCAACUGUUUUGUCAAGUCCGCGUUGGCUCCAAGAGAGACCUUCCCUGAAGUUUUCAGUGCCCGCGGAGUGGACAGCCCCGGCGGAGCAUCUGACCGCCCGCUCCCCGGCUCCCGCUGCAGCUGUCAUUCACGUCGAUGAUGCUGUUUUCCUUAGAGAUCCGAGUGUACAAAUGGACUGAUGCUGCAAAGUCCGUGGGUGGGGUUGGGGUGGGGAGAGUACUUCUGCCUGCCAGGUCUUCAGAGAUGGGUUUACACUUCGAUGAGUAGCGCUGACAAGCCACGUCUUGCAAGGGCGGUUGCAUUCGACCGAAUAGCACAGGUUCCCUUCACCGAUAUGAGCUCGGGUAGCAUUCAUCAUCUGGAGGGGGAUCUUUCCUUAUCUACUUCUCCUUUCUACUGUUUGAAGUGUAAAUUCGUCUUAGGUUAUUGAGUUUUCAGUACUUUGAUUGUAUCCAAAUGGAAGCAUUCAAGUGUGAUAUUGUCUGGCAGUAAAUUUACUUUAAAAAAAAAAAAGCUUACCCUGUGGACUAUCACAUGAGUUAAAUAUCCAAGAUAAAAGAGUGAACAGAGAGUUGCAGGAGGACUAAGAAACACGAGUAAACAUGAGUAACUGUGAUAACGGUUAUAAUUUGCUUUAAAGAUCAUUUACAUUUUCUUUUUAAAUUUCCUGUGUAUGAGUUCUUUGCCUGGAUGUGUGUCUAUUCACGAUGUGCUAGAGCAACCAGAGCUCUUAACCACUGAGCCAUUUCUCCAACCCCCAAAGAGUAUAUAUUUGCCUUUUGAGAGAGAACAGUUUUUAGUCGUUUUUGUCAUUUCCAUGGACGUGGGAAAUUAAAAUUCCAAAUUUAUUUCUUGGCUAUUUUACUAGGAAAUCUAACUUAAUAAAACGGUUGUUCUGUUGAACCUAUAGGUCAUACAUUGGGAUAAGAUAGUUCCAAAAGUGCAGUUACCACCUCGAUGUACCUUAAUGUUAGUCAUUAAAAUUCUCUGAGUGGUGUGGAAAAGUAAAUCGUACACAUCAAAGAAGGGGCUCUUGGGAUCUAGGAGGGGUGGGACAAGGCUUAAACAGACACCUUUCAGUCUCAGGCUUAGUCUGGAGGACAUGAAGUUCUUGUCUGUAGUUUUAUAGGUUAAGAUUAUUUUCAUUGUUGUGGGAAAGAAUAGUGUUAUUGUUUUUAGUUUUGUUUUUC